rnacentral:misc_RNA from 1 species
ACAGAGGAUGUCCUGGGUCAAGAGUUCACUUUAAUGCGAUUGGUGGAUACCAGUCAGCAAGAUCAAGACAUCUGUCUGGAUGACGAACUCCUGGAGAUGGGAGUUGCAGAAAAAAUUAGACCUUUAUCUUGAGAGACUGUCAAAAUCUUAUGAUGAUAAUGAAUCUGUUUCUUAUAAAACUGAUUGAAUCUGUACUUCAGUUGCUUUAAGUGACACUUUAAUAGGCUUCAUGCAGCAUGUGGGCAGGUGUAAUAAACAUGAAAUUGGAUCUUUUGGCAAAUUAUUCAAAAUGCUUCUCUGUUUACUGGCCUGUGUGUGUAUUUUAUAGCUGGUGUUACUGUAUAUGCCUACUAUGAUAUACUAUAUGCUAACAGUGCUGUCAUUACAUGAAGUGUCUUGAUAUAGAGGCGUACCAAUACAAAUAGUACCAGGUAUUUUAAUCUGACAGAUUUUGUUGGAUUUAGAUUACUGAUCUGUACAUAGGGCUUCUUUUAUCUUAUUUUUUAAUCAUCUUUUUUUUAAGCUCCUCGUAUCAAAACUUCAUGUUUAUCUUAAAGAGGCUGCUUCAAAAGCACCAUUUUAUUUUGUCAUUGUUUUUUGUAAUAUGGCUACAAACAAAGCUUUCUUGUAACUUCCUACCUCUCAAUUCAUGUCAGAAAUUGUCCCAAAAUUUAUGUGCAGAAAUAUUAAUCCAUAUGAUAUAUUCUUUUUAUCAAAAUGUAUAAUUGGAUAAACUAAUUUAUAUAGCUUAUAUAUUUGACAUUUGCUUUAUUUUUGUGUGGUAAAUUUGAGGGUCAUACCUGGCAAGCAUGAAUUGAUGAAAGAUUUGAAAUUUUGCCGAAACGGUACAGUACUAGUGUAUACAUGUUCAAUAAGUUGUUCAUUUAUACACGGUGGUAGAAAUAUGCUGUAAUUUACCGUUGACAUUCUUGACAGUUAUUUUGCACUUUAUUAACCUUAGUGGGAUAGGAAACAUUGUGUUAUUGAUUGUUGAAUAAAUGCAACCUUUGUUGGAAAUU